CUCCUACUACAUGAAUGGAAGGGACUACAUCAUAAGUGGAAGCUGCGAUGAAAAUGUUGUCCGUGUCUGCUGUGCUCAGACUGGAAGGCGAGUUAAGGACGUUUACUUAGAGGAUAGUGACUCUGGAAAUUCCCUGUUUGUGCAGUCCUUAAGGGGCGAUCCUUUUAGACUAUUUCACAUGAGUGUUCUUGCUGCCUCUAAGCGACCAAGCUCCAAAUGUGAGAUCAUCAAGGUCAAUUUACUUGCUCCCAGUCGCUCUGCCAAAGGAUAUUCUUAUGGUCGACACAUCCAUUCUUCCUUUAAUAUGGGAGGUUGAUAUUGGUAUCUUUUUGCUUUCCUUUCCAUCAUAAUACAUAUAUAUGAGUUACUGUGUAAUUUGUACCAAUAUGAGAAUUGAAAGUGUCAUGUUUUGUUAUGCAAGUUCUGGGGAAGAAUUACAGCACAAGUCAAGGCCUCAGCUCUUAAUGGCGGAGCUGAGCUUCUUUGUCACUUAUGUCAACUCUCAGCAGCUUGAAUCUGUAUAGAUUUACAUCUUUGGAAAUAUUGGUCUGUUGUAAUUAAAACUAACUUUUCAUGCUUGGAUAUAAUAGAUUCAUUCAAUCGAAAAUUUAAAACUAGGAAAACUAAUUCAAGGCUUGACAUUGUUUGUUACUAAUGAA
rnacentral:misc_RNA from 1 species